GCGUCAGUGGUUUAGUGGUAAAAUCCAUCGUUGCCAUGUUCGCAUGCGAUUCUCGAUGGGCCCCGCGUUCGAUUCGCGGCUGACGCA